rnacentral:lncRNA from 1 species
AGUGGUUUUAAAGCUGUGUAGUAUGUGUCUGAAAAUAUUAUAAAUCAUGUUUAAUGUCCUCUUAUCACUUCUCAUCAGUGAAGAGGUAGAUAAAAGUGAUGCAAAAUUACUAGUCAACUUUGGAAAUACAAAAAUCAGCUGUUGAAAGUAAAUUUGAUUAAUCUUCAGAAAAACAACAGUGGGUAUUUCCAGCUCUACCUAGGGAUUUGUGAAAUGUUCUAAUUACAUGGAGAAUAUGGUAUAAGAAUUAGCUAAUCUUAGAAUCACAGAAUUUUACCAGUAGAACAGAUGGCCUAAGAGAUCUGACUCCAUUAUUUUAUAACUGAGGAAAUGGAGGCCUUGUCCAAAGGAGUGGCUUAUUUGAAAUUGCACAGCUGGUUAAUGAAGAGCCCAGAUCCAGCCAUAAUUCCUGUCUCUCAGAGAAGUUUCCCUCCCAUUCUGCUAGUACAGCCCCAUAUGCCAAUUCCCAGCAGCUGGAACUCCUCUGACAAAGGGACAAGGCCUUUAGCAUAACUGUGCCUGAGCAAAAUCCAUCCAGUUGAUUUUUCCUUUCUCCCUGCAGGCCCUCACCUAAGCUUUCCCCUGCUAUGGUCAUACUUAUUCCUUCCUCACUGAGGCAUUCCAGUCCUUAACCUAAUCCCUCAAUGAGUCCGUAGUGGCCACUCACAAGUCGGACCCAUUAACCAGGCCAAUAUGCUCAGCUAGAGACCUAAAUAAAAUUUCCCAUACGGUUUCAGUAUGGUCAACAAAGAUUAUCCCCCAGCCUGGGAUUCUUGAACCCCAUGGUAAACAACUGGCAUGAGGUUCAACUUGAGAAACCUUUUAAAAAUGUUUAGAGGCCCCUUUUAUUUUUUCCAUUGAGACUGAAACUAACUGAAUGAACAUCAAUGGUCAAAAUGCAUAUUCUUAUGAUUUAGGUCAUACGACCUAUUUUAUUAAGUAGAAGAGCAUUUUUAAGAAAACGAUUUUAACCAACAAAAUAUUAGUAUCUGGGCACAUUUGAGAUGAAUACAGCUUUGUAAUCUUUCAUCCAUAAAUGAAAUCACUAGCCACGUCUUAAAGUCAGACAGUCCUACAGAUACAAAUUAUUUAUCAUUACCAAUCUACAGAGGAUCUCGGUACCAGAUAUGAGAAGGCAGCCUUGGAGCAGCUGAGCGGUAGAUAAGGACAGAUAGAAUCUUCAUACAUGCACAGAAUCUACCUUGCUGGGCAUUUCAUAUUCUGUAAACCUGAAUAGGGACAAAAUAAAAGGUUGUGAACCCCUAUUCAUGAUAGCCCAUGAAGGGCUUCAGCUUUAACACUUAAUGAAUCCAUCUAACAAGAUAUACCUGCUCCUUCAUCUUAUUCAUUUUUCAAGCUAAUGUCUUAUUGGACCUUAGAUAAAACACACACACACACACAAAGAGCAGCAAAGUCAUCCAAUAUAGAGAAACAAAGGAAGGACAGAAUGUCAACAGACAUUGUAAAGUUUCAUUUGGCACAUGCACAAAAAGUCAUUGUCCCAGCCAGGUGACCAUAUGCCUAUAACAUGGCAGAGCUGUUCUCUGGGCACCAAUCCAGGGCUUCAGCUACCACUUUCUAAUUUGGAUUAAUAAUUCAUUGUAUUACCUGAAAAGGUUGCAAUAAAAAAUAUCAUGUCACCUGAACCAUAUGGAAUCGCCCAUCCCAAGUUACACACUGUUUUCAGUGUGGUCUUGUGAAAUGAGUCUUCACUUUAUCCUGACUGUGGUAAUACACAGUCACUCCAUGAGAAUGCAAAAAGCAGCAUCUAUUGAGGGUGACAUGGCUACAGGUUCCGUAAGGAAGAAAAGGAAAGAAGAGAGGAAAUGAGGAUGAUAAGAAGGGAAAUCAAUAUGUGUAGAGGCCUACCAUGUGCCAAGCAUACUGAGAACACACAAUCCUUAUGACAGUUCUGUAAGCAGGUAAUGGUACUGCCAUUGGAGAGAUGAGAAGACUAAAAUUUAGGAAAGGUAACUAAAUUACCCAUAUUCAGUCAUCUAGUUGGAAAGACUCCAAAUUCUUCAUGGAAAUGACCAGCUGAAUGGGCAAAGAAACAUACCUGAAAAAAAGAAAACCUAGAAAAUAGCUCCUAGGCAAUAUAUGAGCAGAUAUUUGAUGUGUGAGACAAAUUGAAUGCACAAGACCUGAGGACAUUUCAAAUAAUAUUAAUCAACUAGUAUUAGGAAGAAUUAGUUAGAACGCUUCAUGGAGAUGGGACUUGACAUGGCUCCAAACCUUCCGCACUUAAAAUAAUGAGUCUCUUUGUAUGUAAAUACUGACCUAAUUCCUGAAGCUGAGGAACUCUGGAUGAGUGUGAAACUUAAAAGUAUUUGAUUUUGGACAGGAGGAGAUUCAGGCUGGCCAGAGUAAAAGGCUGAAGAUUGCAUCUCUCUUCUCUGUGAGGAGGGAGGAAGGAAGCAGAGAGGAGAGCUUCCUCUUCCAGCAGAAGCCCCUCCAGCUGGUUGAUAGAUCACAUCUGCAAUAAAAGGCAUCUUUUAUGUUCUUACUGUAUAAUAAUUAAAAUGCAGCUAUGCAGAUGCAUCAGCAUUGCCCACUUUAAAAAGUCACCAAUAGGAGUUCCUGUCAUGACUCAGUGGUUAACGAACUCAGCUAGUAUCCAUGAGGAUGCGGGUUCGAUCCCUGGCCUCACUCAGUGGGUUAAGGAUCACAGCAUUGCCAUGAGCUGUGGUAUAAUUUGCAGACGAGGCUUGGAUCUGGCAUCGUUGUGGCUGUGGCAUAGGCCAGCAGCUAUAGCUCCCAUUCGACCCCUUGCCUAGGAACCUCCAUAUGCUGGGCAUUUUUAUUUUUUAAAUUUUAUUAUUAUUUGUCUUUUUGUAUUUUUAGGGCCGCACCCAUGUAUAUGGAGGUUCCCAGGCUAAGGGUCCAAUCGGAGCUGUAGCUGACGGCCUACACCACAGCCACAACAAUGCAGGAUCCAAGCCGGUCUGCAAUCUAUACCACAGCUCACGGCAACACCGGAUCCUUAAUCCACUGAGAGAGGGCAGGGUUCGAACCCUCAACCUCAUGGUUCCUAGUUGGAUUCCUUUCUGCUGCGCCAGGACAGGAACUUCCGAAGCAGCAUUUUUAAUAAAAAUGUGCAUAUGCAGUCACUAAAGUCAUGACAAUGAUGAUUUUAUACCUUAUAAUGUACAGCACUAUAAUUCUCUUAAAGAACUUUCAUAGAGGAGUCCCCUCUUAUCCUCAGGGGAUACAUUUCAAGACUCGUAGCAGUAGGUGUGUAAAACCAGGGAUAGUCCAAACCCUGUCACUUUAGUUUUGGUCCAUACUUAAAUGAUUUUGGCGCUAGUCUUUCAAAAUAUCCAUCAUCAUAUUGCAAAACUUCAAUGUCCUCUUGGAUGAUUUAUCUCAUUGCCUAAAGUCCUAGGUUCAUAGUUCUUCAAUCUCCUAAAAUCUAAGGAUCUUAACCUUGCAUUUUCUGAAUCUUAUCAACCAUGGAACUCUUUGAUUUCAAAACCCUAGGAUUCUAAUAUUAGUCUCUGACCACUACCUUCAGAUUCCUGCCAACCUGUACACAUGAACAGACAUCAAACAGAAACAGCAAAUUCAACAUAUCUAAGUAAUAACUGCUUAGAACCUGAACUAAGGUUGUGCCUCAGGCACCGCUCCAGCCCAUGCACCCUGUCCUGACCUUCUUGCUCGCCUCCCUGACAAGGAGCAGCAGCAGGUCCACACCAACUCCAGCUCCCCUCCUUUAGAUUUUCUGGGUCCUAGAACAGGCACAUGUGCUACAACUUGUGAAAGGCACCAGCUUCCUCUUUAGGUGGCUCAUGUUGCCAAUUAGAUGCUACAAGAUCAAACAGGGUUCCCUUCUAUAACAUGAGUUCCAGUUUGUCUCCUCAGAUUCCAUUUUGUCCCCAUGGGUCCCAGUUCAGCUUUCCUUCCCCUAUUUCAGGUCAAAUUUCUCUCCCAACUACAUGUCCUACUUCAGACCCAUCACCAUGUGCAGAGAGGCCUUCCAGAAAUUACUUCCCAGUUCCUCUUCAGGAUGAUUAGCAACUUUUUCUGAUCCUUCCACCAUCACAUUUGGGACCUUUGUGUCUCUAGAUUCUCCCACAGAUUUGUACAAUCUAAUUCCUGUAAUAAAUCUAGUCUCUAUCAUUCAUAGUGGUUCUCCUUCCCUGAUCUGCAACCUAGACACCAGAAUAGAGGCUUUUGUACAAAAUUCUAAGUCCUUUCUAUGGGGGAGAAAACAAAGUCUUAAAUGCAAAAGAAUCCAAAUCAGAAGAAAUUUUUAUAUUCUUAAACGUGUCUAAAAAAUUCUGAUUUGCUUGGAAAUAAAAGAAAGAGCAGGACUGAAAAACUAGGUGCUAGCCAUGAUUUUUAAUAGCGCCACAUCACUUAAGGAUGGUAUUUAUACCUAUUAACAUGCCUUUCUCUCCUUUCCAGAUAAAAUCCAAGAGACAGUGAUUUAACCUAAUUGAAAUAAUAAUUGAAAUAAUCGCUAACUGAAAUAAACAGAAUCACAAAUGAUUGUCUACUAAUUGGUCUUAUGCUUUCCACCACCAACUUCAAUCAAACAAUGCAUAGGAGAUUUCAGUACAAAAUAGAAGUUUAAGCCCAUUUAUUUAUUCAGCUUCUCUUCCUCUGUAGACCCCGAUAAGACUAUAGUAAAGCAUCUAAAAUUAUAAAAACAACAAUUAAAAGAACAGGAGGAGGACAAUCCACAAACAAGUACUUUGACACAUUUCUGGAAUAUGGAAAUUUGGAAAGAAUAUUUUCAGCUACAGCUGUAGCCUGAAAUAAAAGAGAGGGGGGCUGCAACAGAUAGGACAAA